rnacentral:rRNA from 1 species
GCCAUGCCGCGUGUGUGAAGAAGGCCUUUUGGUUGUAAAGCACUUUAAGCGAGGAGGAGGCUACUGGUAUUAAUACUACCGGAUAGUGGACGUUACUCGCAGAAUAAGCACCGGCUAACUCUGUGCCAGCAGCCGCGGUAAUACAGAGGGUGCGAGCGUUAAUCGGAUUUACUGGGCGUAGAGCGUGCGUAGGCGGCUUUUUAAGUCGGAUGUGAAAUCCCUGAGCUUAACUUAGGAAUUGCAUUCGAUACUGGGAGGCUAGAGUAUGGGAGAGGAUGGUAGAAUUCCAGGUGUAGCGGUGAAAUGCGUAGAGAUCUGGAGGAAUACCGAUGGCGAAGGCAGCCAUCUGGCCUAAUACCGACGCUGAGGUACGAAAGCAUGGGGAGCAAACAGGAUUAGAUACCCUGGUAGUCCAUGCCGUAAACGAUGUCUACUAGCCGUUGGGGCCUUUGAGGCUUUAGUGGCGCAGCUAACGCGAUAAGUAGACCGCCUGGGGAGUACG